AGCAGCCGCGGUAAUUCCAGCUCCAAUAGCGUAUAUUAAAGUUGUUGCAGUUAAAAAGCUCGUAGUUGAAUUUCGGGAUUGACGUGAUGGUCGUGCCUUAAGGGGUAUGAACUGUCGCUGUUGAUUUCUCACCUUCUGGAGAAACUUGAUGUCCUUAAUUGGGUGUCUUGCGGAUCCAGGACCUUUACCUUGAAAAAAUUAGAGUGUUUAAAGCAGGCAUUUUUGCUCGAAUACAUUAGCAUGGAAUAAUAGAAUAGGACGGCAUGGUUCUAUUUUGUUGGUUUCUAGGAUCACCGUAAUGAUUAAUAGGGAUAGUUGGGGGCAUUAGUACUCAAUUGUCAGAGGUGAAAUUCUUGGAUUUAUUGAAGACUAACUACUGCGAAAGCAUUUGCCAAGGAUGUUUUCAUUAAUCAAGAACGAAAGUUAGGGGAUCGAAGACGAUCAGAUACCGUCGUAGUCUUAACCAUAAACUAUGCCGACUA
rnacentral:misc_RNA from 1 species